UGAAAGGCGCUUUCGGGUGUCGCUGAUGGAUGGACCCGCGGUGCAUUAGCUAGUUGGUGAGGUAACGGCUCACCAAGGCGACGAUGCAUAGCCGACCUGAGAGGGUGAUCGGCCACAUUGGGACUGAGACACGGCCCAAACUCCUACGGGAGGCAGCAGUAGGGAAUCUUCGGCAAUGGACGAAAGUCUGACCGAGCAACGCCGCGUGAGUGAAGAAGGUUUUCGGAUCGUAAAACUCUGUUGUUAGAGAAGAACAAGGAUGAGAGUAACUGUUCAUCCCUUGACGGUAUCUAACCAGAAAGCCACGGCUAACUACGUGCCAGCAGCCGCGGUAAUACGUAGGUGGCAAGCGUUGUCCGGAUUUAUUGGGCGUAAAGCGAGCGCAGGCGGUUUCUUAAGUCUGAUGUGAAAGCCCCCGGCUCAACCGGGGAGGGUCAUUGGAAACUGGGAGACUUGAGUGCAGAAGAGGAGAGUGGAAUUCCAUGUGUAGCGGUGAAAUGCGUAGAUAUAUGGAGGAACACCAGUGGCGAAGGCGGCUCUCUGGUCUGUAACUGACGCUGAGGCUCGAAAGCGUGGGGAGCAAACAGGAUUAGAUACCCUGGUAGUCCACGCCGUAAACGAUGAGUGCUAAGUGUUGGAGGGUUUCCGCCCUUCAGUGCUGCAGCUAACGC
rnacentral:rRNA from 1 species